AUUGAACGCUGGCGGCAUGCUUUACACAUGCAAGUCGAACGGUAACAGGCCUUCGGGUGCUGACGAGUGGCGAACGGGUGAGUAAUGCAUCGGAACGUACCCAGAGGUGGGGGAUAACGCAGCGAAAGCUGUGCUAAUACCGCAUGUGAUCUGAGGAUGAAAGCGGGGGACCGAGCAGCAAUGUUUGGCCUCGCGCCUUUGGAGCGGCCGAUGUCGGUUUAGCUAGUUGGUGGGGUAAAGGCCUACCAAGGCGACGAUCCGUAGCUGGUCUGAGAGGACGACCAGCCACACUGGGACUGAGACACGGCCCAGACUCCUACGGGAGGCAGCAGUGGGGAAUUUUGGACAAUGGGGGCAAGCCUGAUCCAGCAAUGCCGCGUGCGGGAAGAAGGCCUUCGGGUUGUAAACCGCUUUUGGCAGGAACGAAACGGUGUCCGCUAAUACCGGGCGCUAAUGACGGUACCUGCAGAAUAAGCACCGGCUAACUACGUG
rnacentral:rRNA from 1 species